CCAGAAUGGAGAAAACUGUACCACUCCAUAAUAUCUCACAAGCUGUUCCUCAUCAACAUGACUUCAAUCAUCCAUGAUUUCACUAACAUGGAUAGUUCCUGUAUCAUCACAGUCGCAGAAGCUCCUUACUUUAGAUGAUCUUUGUAAGUGCUGAAGCUGAUCCAGUUGUCAUCAUACCCUGGCUACCUUUGAUGAUGAGUUUCUUCAAACUCAGUGAGGUUUCUGCAUAGAGAACACAUCCAUGAUCACAGAAGAGAGUAAAUGUUGAGUCCUUGGAAGGAUAAUGCAAAGGAUGCUGCCAGAAGGCACAGCUUACAUCCUUUAGAAUCAUUUUUAUUCCAGCUAUCUGGUGAAGGAAUUCAGUGCACGCAAAUCCCCUCCCCAUUAUAAUAGCUUAAUAACACAGGUCAAUUUGUUCCUAAAUUUCUUCAUUUAGUGGAGAUCAGUUUAAAUAUACAAGAAUUGUUUUGUCCUUUUCCAUCUGACAUGACGAUGGUGUCCACCUGCAAAGUUCAUUACGUUUCAUUGUAGUGUCCUAUAUUCCUUUGGGGAUGUGUAGCAUUUGAUUCACAGUUUGCAAUACAAAUACCCUGAUACAUC
rnacentral:lncRNA from 1 species